UUUCUUUUUUUUUUUUUCUUUUUUUUGAGAAAGCUAUUCCUUUCUAAUAGCGUGUCGCACCACUUUCUGUAGGAAUAACAUAUUUAGGAAUAAAAUUCCUAAUAUCAAUUGUGGUGGUUCCAUUAUCUUUGCUAUCACCAUGAGCAGAUUCGCAAGGUACAAGGCUAAAAUUGCUGCUCCCAGCGUGGUGUGUUGGCGACCUUUGGAUACUAGCGAAGAAAAUCUAUUAAGCACCUUCAAUCCUCCACCCAUAUAGCCGAAACGAAAGCGAUCUUUGUUGGUGAAGUGAGAGGAUCCUUCGCGGACAAGGAGCAUAAUUUUUUGUUGUAGGAGAAUGAUGAAUUGUAUAUUUGUGAUAUGGCUGAUCCGUAGGUCGUAUGGGUGCCACUUGAAGGCUUGGUGGAACUCUGUCUAUGUCGAAAAUAGAUUUUUCCUGGCCCAUCUAUUUUACGGCACCCUGUGCGUAGUCAUUUCUCUUAUAUCAGUGAGCUGACAAGGGGUUUGUGGAUAAUGAGUUUGUCUUUCAUGAGCUUUGUUGCGCUUGUGUCGAGGAUGCUUGACUCAGUUGGAGCCAUCUCUAGAAGCAAGUGCUUCGAUAAUCCAUAGAUAAUCCAUACAACAGCUGGUAGGACACAAAAGCCCCCAAGUUGUGAUCAAGGCCCGAAGGUAGCCGCUGAAUGUAGCGAUAAAGUAUCGAGACCCUUCCUUGCGUGAACUUGAUAAAAAUGGAUGUGAUGCUCACCUUGGAUGAAACUUAUUUGGACAACUCACAAACCCACCGCCAGAGAAAGACCCAUGAGGUUGAGUUCUUGCAAUAGUUAAAGUUGAAUUUCAUAUCGAAGUCGACUCUCCAUUGAUUCCGGAAGUCAUGAAGGUUUGUAGUGCGGUUGUGCUUGAUCUUGAUUAAUUUCGAUGAAGUCGUAGCCAUGAGCGAUACUACUAGCUAUCUUGGGAAAGCUUUUUUUUUUUUUUUUUAUAGGUAGAAUGGAGUGAAGAUAUCACUUGGCGAUGUAGUAUAGGGGUGUGACAUAACCACUACAUUGGUUGGCAACCCCCUGUAUCAUAUUCUUGCGAUGAACGCAAGUGAGGGUGAUAGUCACCGAGUGGUAGUUGCUUCUCAAUUCAGCAAGCUUGAAAUGAAAGUGUAGGAAAGAAACUUGAAUUUCUAGUGCAGGGGCGCAUAGCGGUUGAGUAAGCUUUUAGCCCCCAACAAUGCCAUUAAGAGUAGCCAUGUGUCGCAUAGCUUGAUUAUUAGCAUUAAUUGGUGGGGCCGAAGUUGGCGAUUCCAUGUCGCAGCCACUAUUCCUUCAAUGUAAUUGUCGAUAGCCUCGACACUUUGCACAGACAGUAGCUCCGUUUUGAAAAUGAAGUCGAAAUUUCUCUAACAAGUUAAAAUUUGUUGUGGCAAGUCAAAAUUCGCUGCCAACCCCUUUUCAUUCCAAUAGGGAUUGUUGAGUACGCCGCAUUGCCAUCUUGCAUAGAAUAAGUGUACUUUGGGAAAUACGCCAUUAUCAAGCGGGAAUUUUGGAACUUACUUGAUGACUUUGGCUUAGAGAAUUGUGGUGCUGUCGUUGGGACUUUCAUCCACGAGGCCAAUCUCAUUACCAAUGCAUCAUUUUCUGAGGUUGAAGCUACUACGGACAGCAACAUAGAGCUGCAAUAGAUGGAACCACGGCCGCUGUUAGUAACUUUGAACCCUUUUAGUCCGUCUCCCUCUUGCGGCUUUAAAGUAAAGAAGAGAGUGAUUGCAAGCCAACGCCCCGAAGAUGGUGAUGUUGGAAUGGGACUAUGACAUCACUUCAAAUUUUCCUUUACCUCCUUUCUUGCCCCUUUUUUUUUAUUUGAUUGUCUUGUAUUGAGCCCCAAACUUUGAAAUUUCGAACUAGUCGAAGUGUGUAAUAUGGGAUGCUGCCUUGGAAAAAUUUUCUCUUGUAUUUCACACUCGUGGACAACCCACUUAUGUAUAGAGCGGCUCCUGUCUAGUUAUAUUGGUGCCACUUUGAGUUUGUACUCAAGGAUGUGAAUAGUUUGUAUUUUGUACCUUGAGAACGA